CCGGAAGCAAACAGAACAAAACGAUAGUUUAUAUUGGACAAAUUCAGUUCCAGUUACUGUGCUUCUCGGACUUGGAGAGGAGCUAGAGGUGCACCUUGUUAUGCCAUCACUCAAGAGCAACUGAGGUUUCUGAUAUCCUGUGGUUUCAGUGUGUCUCAGAUGGCAGAUAUUCUACAUGUGUCCUGAUCGACAGUCAAACGUUGUCUAAGACACUUCAAUCUGUCACAUGCACCAUUAUAUUCUGACAUGUCAGACUUGGCUCCGGAUGAAAAGAUUAAGAACUGGUGGCUGGGAACGACAAACGUGGAGCGGAGGCUGUUCGAUCACAAUUAAGAGCUCUGGGUGCAGAGACGCAGAGUGAGGGACAGCAUGCUCCGUGUUAACCCGAGGGCGGCUUCCCUUAGAGCCAUGUCGCAGAGGCUGCAUAGAAGGUCAUACCAUGUUGCUGUACCAAACUCGUUAUGGCACCUUGAUGGAAACCACAAACUGAUAAGCAACAAUCGCAGCAGUACAGUAAUGGAUUGCUUCGUGAAUGCUGUUUCCAGAUAUGGCGUUCCCUCCAGAGUUAGGACGGACCAUGGAGGAGAAAACAACACUGUCUGCUUGUUGAAUGUAUACAUAGUGAAAAUAUUAUAUAUCUAAAAUAGAGCUACAUGCAUUGCAUCCUUAAAAUGUCUUCUUGACCUACACAUUGAUUACAUUUUCUGUAAAUCAUUUUUAGAACGCAAUCACAUUAUGUUUGACAGCUUUAUUGCUUUCUCCAUGUUCUUGAAAUGUUUGUGAAAUGUUUAAAUGACAUUUAACAGACGACUUCUACAAACAAGGCUACACUUGUGGCAGCACCUAUUCCUGUGCCCCCCCCAUCUUCUGCACCACUUAUUGUGGCCCCCUCCACCUAUACCAUUUCCUGUGGCCUCCCCUCCACCAUUCCCUGAGGCUUAUUGUCCACCUUCACCACACUCUUCUGUUGAUGUUGAGGACAAUGAGUAAGUCCUCCCUGUAAAUAAUUCAAUGUCUUGUUAUUACAGAUGAAAUGUGGGAAGUAUCUGAGCUUUGCUAUUCUGAAUGUCUUUUUUUUUGUUGUGUUGACCUCCAAACACUGCUGAAGUUAAUGAGAUGCCAACCAAGUUAACGUGAUGAUUGACAACAUUUAUGAUUUUGCAAUGAGAGGCUUUAAGAGAGCCCGCUUUAGUCCAGAGGCAAAAAUAGACAUGGUUUUUUGGGAUACUGACAGAAAAGGGGCAGCUGAGGGUGGUCCCUCAAGAGAGGGUGGUCCUCUCCUGCUGCUAAUGAGUGCUAUCCAUUCCUCUGCAAUAUUUGAGGGACCUGAUUGGCAAAAAUGCCUUUCUUGCAACUCUCAAGGUGAGUUACACUUUAACACCAACAAAAACACAUUUGUUUAUGGCAAUAAAUAUAACUUGAGUAAGACAUUAGAUUUUUGUAUGUAAUGUGUCCUUUAUUUACUGUUUUUCUUCUGUGUGAUAGCACUCUAUGAUGGUGUAUACAAGCAGGUGGGCCGCUUGAUUGCUGUCUGUCUGGUACAUGGGGGUGUAGAGACACAUUUUUUCAGAGGCUAUACAGGCAAGUGUGUGGCCAACAACCUCCUGUGCCAGAACUGAAAGAAAUUGCGGAAUAUGACUUCAGAGAGAAGUUGGAAAAGAUUCAAAGAGGGUCUGAAGUGUCUAGGUCUCCUGCCUUAUAUGAAUAGACACUCAAGCCUCUUCAUCUACGCUGAGAAACCUCUUUUGGCCAAAGACAUAGCUUCUCUCUUCAAAGCAGAGCGCUCCCCGCCUGGCACCAAUCAAAGAGCAAUAGAGAAACGAGUCAUAUGUUUCUGGAGGGACUGGCUUCUGGAGGUGGAAGGUUAGAUGCAAAACCAUGAUCACUGAAGUAACACGGCCCACAUCAAUAAAAUAUCACCUCAUCACGCAUUUUAUAGCCUUAUUCUUCCAUGGGCCCCCUAAGAAUUUAAUAGAUCAAUUAAAUCCCAAACUACUUUCACUUAGAGUAUUGUGUUCUCCAAUAAGUGUUACUUAUGGACUUUAAUGUCCCCCCCUUCCGUUUUUCAGGGGGGAACACAUACCCUUUAACCAUGGGGAAGGUUUUCAUUUUCACUUUGGGGGUUUCAGCAUUCCUAGGCUGGUAUUGCCAGUGGAGCCACAGCUACAGUUCUCUCUGCUACCGCACGGCAAGCGUAGCGCCAAGUCUAGGUCCAAGAUGCUUCUAAACAGAUUCUAUCCCGAAGCCAUAAGACUACUGAACAUCU